UAAUACGGAGGGUGCAAGCGUUAUCCGGAAUCACUGGGUUUAAAGGGUGCGUAGGCGGUUAUAUAAGUCCAUGGUGAAAGACGGCAGCUUAACUGUCGCAGUGCCAUUGAUACUGUAUGACUUGAAUAAGGAUGAGGUUGGCGGAAUGUGACAUGUAGCGGUGAAAUGCAUAGAUAUGUCAUAGAACACCAAUUGCGAAGGCAGCUGACUAGACCUUUAUUGACGCUGAGGCACGAAAGCGUGGGGAUCGAACAGGAUUAGAUACCCUGGUAGUCCACGCCCUAAACGAUGCUAACUCGUUGUUUGGCCGUGAGGUUGAGCGACUAAGGGAAACCGAUAAGUUAGCCACCUGGGGAGUACGCUCGCAAGAGUG
rnacentral:rRNA from 1 species